rnacentral:rRNA from 1 species
GGGGAAUAUUGGACAAUGGGCGAAAGCCUGAUCCAGCCAUGCCGCGUGAGUGAUGAAGGCCUUAGGGUUGUAAAGCUCUUUCAGUGGGGAAGAUAAUGACGGUACCCACAGAAGAAGCCCCGGCUAACUUCGUGCCAGCAGCCGCGGUAAUACGAAGGGGGCUAGCGUUGUUCGGAUUUACUGGGCGUAAAGCGCACGUAGGCGGAUUGUUAAGUCAGGGGUGAAAUCCCGGAGCUCAACUCCGGAACUGACUUUGAUACUGGCAAUCUAGAGUCCGGAAGAGGUGAGUGGAACUCCUAGUGUAGAGGUGGAAUUCGUAGAUAUUAGGAAGAACACCAGUGGCGAAGGCGGCUCACUGGUCCGGUACUGACGCUGAGGUGCGAAAGCGUGGGGAGCAAAC